rnacentral:rRNA from 1 species
AUUGGACAUGGAGGCACUCUGAUCCAGCCAUGCCGCGUGAAGGAAGACGGCCUUAUGGGUUGUAAACUUCUUUUAUACAGGAAGAAACCUUUCCACGUGUGGAAAGUUGACGGUACUGUAAGAAUAAGGAUCGGCUAACUCCGUGCCAGCAGCCGCGGUAAUACGGAGGAUCCAAGCGUUAUCCGGAAUUAUUGGGUUUAAAGGGUCCGCAGGCUGUUUGUUAAGUCAGAGGUGAAAUCCUACCGCUCAACGGUAGAACUGCCUUUGAUACUGGCAAACUUGAGUUAUUGUGAAGUAGUUAGAAUGUGUAGUGUAGCGGUGAAAUGCAUAGAUAUUACACAGAAUACCGAUUGCGAAAGCAGAUUACUAACAAUAUACUGACGCUGAGGGACGAAAGCGUGGGUAGCGAACAGGAUUAGAUACCCUGGUAGUCCACGCCGUAAACGAUGGUCACUAGCUGUUCGAUGUACAUUGGUACGUUGAGUGGCUAAGCGAAAGUGAUAAGUGACCCACCUGGGGAGUACGCUCGCAAGAGUGAAACUCAAAGGAAUUGACGGGGGCCCGCACAAGCGGUGGAGCAUGUGGUUUAAUUCGAUGAUACGCGAGGAACCUUACCAGGACUUAAAUGUAAGUUGCAUGAUUCAGAAAUGAAUCUUUCUUCGGACUACUUACAAGGUGCUGCAUGGUUGUCGUCAGCUCGUGCCGUGAGGUGUCAGGUUAAGUCCUAUAACGAGCGCAACCCCUAUCGUUAGUUGCCAUCAAGUAAAGUUGGGAACUCUAGCGAAACUGCCGGUGCAAACCGAGAGGAAGGUGGGGAUGACGUCAAAUCAUCACGGCCCUUACGUUCUGGGCUACACACGUGCUACAAUGGUCGGUACAGAAAGCAGCCACUAUGCGAAUAGGAGCUAAUCUUUAAAACCGAUCUCAGUUCGGAUCGCAGUCUGCAACUCGACUGCGUGAAGCUGGAAUCGCUAGUAAUCGGAUAUCAGCCAUGAUCCGGUGAAUACGUUCCCGGGCCUUGUACACACCGCCCGUCAAGCCAUGGAAGCUGGGGGUACCUAAAGUCGGUGACCGAAAGGAGCUGCCUAGGGUAAAACUAGUGACUGGGGCUAAGUCGUGACAAGGUAGCCGUACCGGAAGGUGCGGCUGGAAUACCUCCUUUCU